AAAAUUCAUUAAUCUUAUAUAUAAGAUAACUGAUCAUUACUGUCAGUGAAUGAGCAGAUCUACGAACUUUCAGUUGCCUUCAUAUUGAGUUAAUUAUAACUAUUAAUAAACUGAAUUAAACCAAACCCACUUCCAGCUUUACAAGAUCAUUCAUUUGCCAAAUGAUUCUCAUACUUCUCAAACCAAAGUUGUAGUAAUUUAAAGUCAAACAAAUACCUAAAUAUCUAAUCUCACACAUAACAGACACAUCAGUGAAUAAAUUACAUAAUAUCAUGAUAUUUAAUUAGAAACUAUAGCAAUUACAUUGUCUAAAACUGAGACACAUACCUCAAUAGAAAGAAACAGAAUUAGCAGAACCAAACAAAGGCUGAGAACGGCCACAAACUGAAGUUCGGCUCAAAAACGGAAUCUGAGAUGCGAACAAGACCUCGACGGAAAAUUUCUACCUCGACCAGUCACCACUGAACCAAUGAAACAGCAAUAAAACUCAAACAAAACUCCAUGACCGAGACUUGAGUCAAUUUUUACUAAAAUCAGAAGAAACGAAACUUUGAAAUUUACAUGAACACCAUAACAAAUCUGAAAGUCGAAACACCACAACGAGACUGAAGCAACUGUAUUCCUGUGUGCUUUUGUGCGAAUGUGUGUGUGUCCGAGUCGUUCUCAAAAAAUCAAAGCAAAAUAAGAGAUAUCGCCGCUGAAGGUUCUUCUCUAAGAAAUCUUGAGGUUUGGCUGUUGAAGCUCAGAGAAUCGAAUGGUAACUGCCUAGUUAUGGGGUUAAUUUGCACAGGCUUCAAGCGAAUCUCGCCGGCGAUGAAGGUCUGGAGAUGCUGGUCAUGGAGAAGAGGGGUCUUUUGGUUCGCCGCUUGGUGGUGAAGGGUGAGUUCAAUUUUGGGGGUUUUUAGAGUGAGGGAGGUGGAUAUGGCAGCGGGUUGUUGUGGUGCUGAAGAUGGUGGAAGGCUGGAAUGGGGUGGGUGUCUUCAAGGUUAGAAACGACGCCCUCAGUCUAGGUCUUUUUGGUUCAGCUUUUGGUCUUGUAUUUUUGUGUAUUUUAGCUGAUUUCCUAGAGUGUAU
rnacentral:lncRNA from 1 species